AUUGAACGCUGGCGGCAGGCCUAACACAUGCAAGUCGAGCGGAUGAAGGGAGCUUGCUCCUGGAUUCAGCGGAGGACGGGUGAGUAACGCCUAGGAAUCUGCCUGGUAGUGGGGGAUAACGUCCGGAAACGGGCGCUAAUACCGCAUACGUCCUGAGGGAGAAAGUGGGGGAUCUUCGGACCUCACGCUAUCAGCUGAGCCUAGGUCGGAUUAGCUAGUUGGUGGGGUAAAGGCCUACCAAGGCGACGAUCCGUAACUGGUCUGAGAGGAUGAUCAGUCACACUGGAACUGAGACACGGUCCAGACUCCUACGGGAGGCAGCAGUGGGGAAUAUUGGACAAUGGGCGAAAGCCUGAUCCAGCCAUGCCGCGUGUGUGAAGAAGGUCUUCGGAUUGUAAAGCACUUUAAGUUGGGAGGAAGGGCAGUAAGUUAAUACCGUGCUGUUUUGACGUUACCAACAGAAUAAGCACCGGCUAACUUCGUG
rnacentral:rRNA from 1 species